AUGUGGUUUUAACCAAACAGCAUCCAGGAAUAGACUCACCCGUUGUAUUAAUGUGUCCAGACAAGACUGACAGCUUCUCUGAGCCAGGCGAAUUCAUCAUUAUUAUGGAGAUAUAUCCAAAGAAAUAGAAAAAAAGGUAUUUUGAGGAAAGAAAGAUAAGAGGGGAAAAUCAUGGAGGUUUCCUGGUGACAUAGAGUGACAGACCUGUUCCUGUAUGUUGGCUGACGCGAUGAUACGACGCUCCUCUCUGAGGCUAGUGGAGAUGACCCUGGCCAUGAGCAGAGGAGAGAGUAUGGAACCCGCAGAGGAGGGGGAAAAACUAUCUCUGGAAGAUGGCCACCGAGACUGAGGAGCUAUCCAUGAAGAACCACUAAGAUGAUGACAAUCCUGUGACUUUUGUUGUAGUUUAAAGAUAAUCGUAUUAUGUUCCUGUUUGAUCUGGAGAAGAAGAUGUAUGUUUUUUCCUUGGGAGAUUUUCAAUGAUUAUGUUGGAGUGUUUGUGUUGACCAAAUGCCCUCAAUAGAGAACUUGUUCAAUCAAGAAAACCUACUCCUGACU